AACGACUCUCGGCAACGGAUAUCUCGGCUCUUGCAUCGAUGAAGAACGUAGCGAAAUGCGAUACUUGGUGUGAAUUGCAGAAUCCCGUGAACCAUCGAGUCUUUGAACGCAAGUUGCGCCUGAAGCCAUUAGGCUGAAGGCACGUCUGCCUGGGCGUCACGCAU
rnacentral:rRNA from 1 species